rnacentral:rRNA from 1 species
CGUCAAAUCAUCACGGCCCUUACGUCCUGGGCUACACACGUGCUACAAUGGUCGGUACAGAGAGCAGCCACUCCGCGAGGAGGAGCGAAUCUUCAAAACCGAUCUCAGUUCGGAUCGCAGUCUGCAACUCGACUGCGUGAAGCUGGAAUCGCUAGUAAUCGCAUAUCAGCCAUGAUGCGGUGAAUACGUUCCCGGGCCUU